CCUACGGGAGGCAGCAGUGAGGAAUCUUGGUCAAUGGGCGAAAGCCUGAACCAGCCAAGUCGCGUGAGGGAUGAAGGUCCUAUGGUCCGUAAACCUCUUUUAUAUAGGAGUAAAGUGUUGAACGUGUCUGUUCUCGUAUGUACCUUAUGAAUCAGGAUAGGCUAACUCCGUGACAGCAGCCGCGGUACUAUGGAGGAUACGAGCGUUAUCCGGAUUUAUUGGGUUUAAAGGGAGCGUAGGGGGUCUUUUAAGUCAGAUGUGAAAGGAUGCGGCUCAACCGUACAAUUGCAGUUGAAACUGGGAGACUUGAGUACAGAAGAGGCGAGCGGAAGGCGAGGUGUAGCGGUGAAAUGCGUAGAUAUAUGGAAGAACACCGAUGGCGAAGGCAGCUCUCUGGGCUGUAACUGACGCUGAGGUACGAAAGCGUGGGGAGCAAACAGGAUUAGAUACCCCUGUAGUC
rnacentral:rRNA from 1 species